rnacentral:rRNA from 1 species
UACGGAGGGUGCAAGCGUUAUCCGGAAUUACUGGGUUUAAAGCGCGUGUAGGCGGGUCGUUAAGUGUCCGAGUGAAAUCCCACGGCUCAACCGUGGAACUGCCGGGCAUACUGGCGAUCUUGAGGCAUUCAGGGGCGAGCGGAACAAAUGGUGGAGCGGUGAAAUGCGUAGAUAUCAUUUGGAACGCCAAUGGUGAAAACAGCUCGCUGGGAAUGAUCUGACGCUGAGACGCGAAAGCCAGGGGAGCGAACGGG